CUUCGCUAGUCAAGCCAGCGAAGAAAGUGAUUGGGAAACAACGGCUUACGGUCUUAGUAAACGUCUCGUUUCCCGCUCCAAA
rnacentral:sRNA from 18 species